AUGUAUCAAGAUAGCAGCCGGACAGCAUGGACCAGGUUUAUACCUGGGGACAGUAAAGAGCAUCAUAUCUUGGCAAAACCAAGCAAAACAGAUGUGGGUUCUAAUUCUUCCUCUACCACGUGGCCAAAUUGCUUCCAUUUACAUCAUCUAGAGACAGCAAGGAAGCGUGUGAUUCUCAUGCCUGGAUUUGUCAUGUUGGGGGACUUGGACAAGGCAAUUUCUUUCACAGAUAGCAGUUUCCCUAUUUGGGAAAUAAAGCAUCCACCCUUUAAUAUAACUAUAAACUCUUGAGAAUGACCUCCAGAAAGUUAUGGGCCAGAUGAUCCAAUCAUGGUAAGUAACCCCAAAUUUUGUAAUUCAAUCAAUGUCACGUUCCUUUUUUUUUUUUUUUUUUUUGUCUUUUCCAGGGCCGCACCCAUGGCAUAUGGAGGUUCCCAGGCUAGGAGUCUAAUCAGAGCUGUAGCUGCUGGCCUACGCCAGAGCCACAGCAAUGUGGGAUCCGAGCCGCAUCUGUGACCUACACCCCAACUCACAGCAGUGCCAGAUCCUCAACCCACUGAGCGAGGCCAGGGAUCAAACCCACAACCUCAUGGUUCCUAGUCAGAUUCGUUAACCACUGAGCACGACGGGAACUCCUCAAGUUCCUUCUUAAUAUAAAUGCUCUUUGGAUUUAUAUAACACUUGUUUUAAAACAAUGCUUGGGACUCUUUUUUUUUUUUUUUUUUUUUUUUUUUUUUCUUUUUAAGGCCUCAUCCAUGGCAUUUGGAAGUUCCCAGGCUAGGGAUCGAAUCAGAGCUGCAGCUGCCAGCCUACGCCACAGCCACAGCAAUUUGUGAUCUGAGCCUCGUCUGCCACAUACAUCACAGUUCACAGCAAUGCCAGGUCCUUAAUCUCCUGAGCGAGGCCAGGGAUGAACCUGCAUCCUCAUGGAUACUAGUCAGAUUUGUUUCUGCUGAGCCACAACGGGAACACCCCAGGGACUUUUGCACUUGGCCUCUCUCCUAGAAAGAGAGGUCUGUCCACAUCUUGGUUUACCAUUGACCACUCAUUUCUCUUUCCAGAGGGUAAUCGUUCCACAAAGUUCCUUUGGAGAACUGACUGCCAUUCUUAGCUAUGCAUUUUAUUUAUUUAUUUAUUUUAAAUUUAUUUUUAUUAGACUAUAGUUGAUUUACAGUGUUGUGCCAAUUUCUGCUGUACAGCAAAAGUGACCCAGUCAUACAUAUAUAUGUAUAUAUUAUUUUUGUCAUACUAAAAAAAUCCAUUAUGUUCUAUCCCAAGAGACUGUAUAUAGUUCCCUGUACUAUACAGUAGGACCUCAUUGCUAAUCCAUUCUAAAUGUAAUAGUUUGCAUCUACCAACCCAAACUCCCCAUCUAUCCCUCUUUGUCCCUCUACCCCCAACUCUGGCAACCACAAGUCUAUCUAUGUCUGUGAGUCUGUUUCUGUUUUGUAGAUAGGUUCAUUUGUGCCAUAUUUUAGAUUCCAUAUAUAAGUGAUAUUAUAUGGUAUUUGUCUUUCUUUUUCUGACUUAAUUCACUUAGUAUAAGAAUCUCUAGUUGCAUCCAUGUUGCUGCAAAUGCAUUAUUUUGUUCUUUUUAUGGCUGAGUAGUAUUUCAUUGUGUAUAUAUACCACAUCUUCUUAAUCCAUUCAGCUAUGCAUUUUAUUUAUUUAUUUAUUUUUAUCUUUUCAUCUUUUUUUCUAGGGCCACACUCAGGGCAUGUGGAGGUUCCCAGGCUAGGAGUCUAAUCGGAGCUGUUGCUGCCAGCCUAGGCCAGAGCCACAGCAACCCAGGAUCCGAGCUGCAUCUUCGACCUACACCACAGCUCACGGCAACGCCGGAUCCUUAACCCACUGAGCAAGGCCAGGGAUCGAACCUGUAACCUCAUGGUUCCUAGUCAGAUUUGUUAACCACUGUGCCAUGACGGGAACUCCUCAGCUACGCAUUUUAGGUAGGACUGACUCAUCUCUUAUUCCAGAGGUGGACUUUCCAGAGGUGGACUUUGAUAGGUGUGUGUUAAUCUAUGAAGCCUGUCUACCUAGCAACACAGUUGGUUUAGAAAUGGUCACGUGAUGCAGUUUAAGCCAAUGAGAAGCAAGGAGGCAUAUGCUGAGGUUCUGGGGAUGAAGGUAUCUCACAUUUUAAGGAAAGCUGAUGAGAGUGAAGUUCAUCCCAUCCCUGUUUAUAAAUAAAUAUGCAGACCUAAUGCUUCUGGCCA
rnacentral:lncRNA from 1 species